rnacentral:lncRNA from 1 species
GAAUAGAAAAAAAUUUAGAAAAAUAAAUUGAGAAACAAUUGUAUAGUCACAUCAAGAUAGACUAGAAGUCAAUGUAAUCUCAUUACAGAAGUAGUUACAAAGAAAGAAAUGUUACUCAAUUCAUAAUAAACUAGGUAUAGUUUUAUCCUAAAACAAUAUCAUAAACUUCCUAAAUGUUACUUCCAUCAUAUGAUUGUCUUGU